UUCUCGCCUGUGAGAGCAGACCCUGAACCAGCUUGAGCAGCUUCUCCACGCUUUCCAAGUCCAUAAAUUGCUUCAAGCUCACCAAACAGUCCAUAUUUACUAUCCAAAUUCCUGCUUCUCUCACUUGUAGAUUGACCAGGUUGUUGCAAAACUUUGUUGUACUUAGUCCCCUCUAUCAUUUUAGCUCCAUCUGCACUACACUGCCUAUCAUCACAUCUGUUUAAGGGCUUCCUGGUAACAUUUUAACAAACACAUGGCUGACAAAGAAAUCAACUUUGAAAAGAAAAGAAUAAAAAAAGAGCAAUCUUUAUAAAUUACCAAAAGGGUUCUUUGAUGGGAAAAUCUUCUUGAGGAGGCAAACAACGGGGCAAGAAAAGGGAAUGUUGUUGCUGUUGCUCAUUUCCAUGGAGAAAAGUAGCACCAUUUUGCUGAUGAUUCAAAGGUUCUGGGUGUUGAAAUGGUUGAAACUGAUGGUGGAAAAGCUGAUGGGUAACUGGAUUUUCAUGUUGUUUAUUAUGUUGUUGAGAAGGGUAAGGGAAAACAGGUUGUUGUUGGUGAUUAUGAGGAUUGGAAAUGAAGAAAAUUGAAGCGGAUGAAGAAGCAUCAUCAUCCUCCAUGAAUUGCUGUUGUUGUAGAUGAUGAUGAUGAUGGUGGUGAUGAUGGGCACCAUAUUUGAUGGGAUGCAUUUCUUUUGAAGGUUUUUUUUCUAUUUUUUUUUUAAUGUUUAUUGAACAACAUUAAUCCAAGAAGGAACCAAACGAGGGUCUUUCUUCAUAGAAAUGUUGAAUUAAACACUGAUUUUUUUUUAAAGGAAAAAAAGAGCAGCUGUUUUAUGGGAA